UGAUGUUGUGAGCUUAGAAGUUGAUGUGGAAGCCUGUCUUUGGUGAGCAGGACUGCUUGGGUUGUAUCUUGGAAAAGGAGGAUCCUCUUGAGUCUUUCUGCCUUUGCUGAAGGCUUCAGGCCCCGCAGUCUGAGCCAACAUGCAGCUCAGCCCUUCUAGGAAAGCCUGCAACUAUCGACACCAGGUUUUACUUGUAUCGAUCCGUCUGGAAUAUGGGGC